rnacentral:lncRNA from 1 species
CCCUCUAAACUUGCACGGUUUGCAGUAAACAAGGCCACGUACAGCUACAGGUUUCCUAGUAAUAGGAGCAGGAUAAGGUGAUGGUGUUGGUGGUUUAACUGGUGGCUUAGCUGGUGGUUUUGAUGGACUAUAAGUGGGAGGCUUAGUUGGUGGUUUAACUGGCGGCUUAGCUGGUGGUUUUGAUGGACUGUAAGUGGGAGGUUUAGUUGGUGGUUUUGAAGGAGUAUAAGAUGGUGAAGGGGCUGGGGAAUAUUUGGGGUGGUGGUAGCCUUUGUGAGCUUUAGGGGCUUCAGCUGGUGGAAAGUGGCCAUGAUGUUUGUCUAUAAACCAACCCCCAAUGCCUUCCUCC